UUGCCUAUUAAAUAUUUAUUUUUUGCAGGUAUAUUUGCCUAUUUAAAUUACCAUGUUCCCCGAACAAGACGAGAAAUCUUGGAAACUCUAAUCAAAGGCCUUCAGAGAUUGGAGUACAGAGGAUAUGAUUCUGCUGGUGUGGGACUUGAUGGCGGCAAUGACAAAGACUGGGAAGCCAAUGCCUGCAAAAUCCAACUCAUUAAGAAGAAAGGGAAAGUUAAGGCACUGGAUGAAGAAGUUCACAGUAAUAACAGCAAGAUAUGGACUUGGAUAUAGAAUUUGAUGUACAUCUUGGAAUAGCUCAUACCCGUUGGGCAACACAUGGAGAACCUAGUCCUGUCAAUAGUCACCCCCAACGUUCUGAUAAAAAUAAUGAAUUUAUUGUUAUUCAUAAUGGAAUCAUCACCAACUACAAGACUUGAAAAAGUUUUUGGAAAGCAAAGGCUAUGACUUUGAAUCUGAAACAGAUACAGAAACCAUUGCUAAGCUUGUCAAGUACAUGUAUGACAACUGGGAAAGUCAGGACGUCAGUUUUACUACCUUGGUGGAGAGAGUUAUCCAACAACUGGAAGGAGCUUUUGCACUUGUGUUUAAAAGUGUUCAUUUUCCUGGGCAAGCAGUUGGCACAAGGCGAGGGAGCCCCCUCUUGAUUGGGGUGCGGAGUGAGCAUAAGCUUUCUACAGAUCAUAUUCCAAUUCUGUACAGAACAGGCAAAGACAAGAAAGGAAGCUGCAAUCUCUCCCGUGUGGACAGCACGACA